AAAAUUUUCACUCCAUAUUUACCCGUGCCUAGGAAGCCUUACUUUUUCCCAUGAGAAAAGCAUUGGUUUUUCGGGAUUUUUAAUCGUUUUUUUACCGCUGCCGUAAUCAUCAGCUAAAAAAUCGCUGAUUCUCAGAAAAUGUUGACAGUUGUGUUACCUUUUUGUCCAAUUUUUUGGAAUUCGAUACAAGCAUUUUUGGGCUCGGAUUUUUU